UGGGGAAUAUUGGACAAUGGGCGCAAGCCUGAUCCAGCAAUGCCGCGUGCGUGAAGAAGGCCUUCGGGUUGUAAAGCACUUUUAUCAGGAGCGAAACGCUGUCGGCUAAUACCCGGCGGAACUGACGGUACCUGAGGAAUAAGCACCGGCUAACUUCGUGCCAGCAGCCGCGGUAAUACGAAGGGUGCAAGCGUUAAUCGGAAUUACUGGGCGUAAAGCGUGCGUAGGCGGUUUCUUAAGUCUGCUGUGAAAUCCCCGGGCUCAACCUGGGAAUGGCAGUGGAUACUGGGAGGCUAGAGUGUGUCAGAGGGUGGUGGAAUUCCCGGUGUAGCGGUGAAAUGCGUAGAGAUCGGGAGGAACAUCAGUGGCGAAGGCGGCCACCUGGACAACACUGACGCUGAGGCACGAAAGCGUGGGGAGCAAACAGGAUUAGAUACCCUGGUAGUCCACGCCCUAAACGAUGCGAACUGGAUGUUGGUCUCAACUCGGAGAUCAGUGUCGAAGCUAACGCGUUAAGUUCGCCGCCUGGGAGUACGGUCGCAAGACUGAAACUUAAAUGAAUUGACGGGGUCAUAGCUGUUUCCUG
rnacentral:rRNA from 1 species